AUUGAACGCUGGCGGCAGGCCUAGCACAUGCAAGUCGAGCGGAUGAAGGGAGCUUGCUCCUGGAUUCAGCGGCGGACGGGUGAGUAAUGCCUAGGAAUCUGCCUGGUAGUGGGGGAUAACGUCCGGAAACGGGCGCUAAUACCGCAUACGUCCUGAGGGAGAAAGUGGGGGAUCUUCGGACCUCACGCUAUCAGAUGAGCCUAGGUCGGAUUAGCUAGUUGGUGGGGUAAAGGCCUACCAAGGCGACGAUCCGUAACUGGUCUGAGAGGAUGAUCAGUCACACUGGAACUGAGACACGGUCCAGACUCCUACGGGAGGCAGCAGUGGGGAAUAUUGGACAAUGGGCCAAAGCCUGAUCCAGCCAUGCCGCGUGUGUGAAGAAGGUCUUCGGAUUGUAAAGCACUUUAAGUUGGGAGGAAGGGCAGUAAGUUAAUACCUUGCUGUUUUGACGUUACCAACAGAAUAAGCACCGGCUAACUUCGUG
rnacentral:rRNA from 1 species